rnacentral:rRNA from 1 species
GAUGAACGCUGGCGGCGUGCCUAAUACAUGCAAGUAGAACGCUGAAGGAAGGAGCUUGCUCUUUCCGGAUGAGUUGCGAACGGGUGAGUAACGCGUAGGUAACCUGCCUGGUAGCGGGGGAUAACUAUUGGAAACGAUAGCUAAUACCGCAUAACAGUAGAUGUUGCAUGAUAUCUACUUAAAAGGUGCAAUUGCACCACUACCAGAUGGACCUGCGUUGUAUUAGCUAGGUGGUGAGGUAACGGCUCACCAAGGCGACGAUACAUAGCCGACCGGAGAGGGUGAGCGGCCACACUGGGAGGGAGACACGGCCCAGACGCCUACGGGAGGCAGCAGUAGGGAAACUUGGGCCAGCGACGGAAGUCUGACCGAGAAACGCCGAGUGCGUGAAGAAGGUUUUCGGAUCGUAAAGCUCGGUUGUAAGAGAAGAACGAGUGUGAGAGUGGAAAGUUCACACUGUGACGGUAUCUGACCAGAAAGGGACGGCUAACUACGUG